GGGCGUUGUUGUACCCGACCCGGCCUGUCACGCCGGAGGUCGCGGGUUCGAGUCCCGUCGCUCCCG
rnacentral:tRNA from 1 species